rnacentral:rRNA from 1 species
ACGGAGGAUGCGAGCGUUAUCCGGAUUUAUUGGGUUUAAAGGGUGCGUAGGUGGACUGUUUAGUCAGUGGUGAAAUGCUGAUGCUCAACGUUAGCAUUGCCGUUGAAACUGACAGUCUUGAGAGUGAUUGAGGCAGGCGGAAUGUGUGGUGGCGGGGAAAAAAGCAAAGAACCCACGCAGACCCCCGAUGGCGAGGGAAUCUAACAAAGCCACAACUGACACUGAAGCACGAAAGCGUGGGGAUCAAACAG